UAAUAAGCUCAGCACUGAUUAUUUGAGCUGUGUGUAGUUUCUGAUACCAUUUUAUUGAUGGGGUUUGGGUUUGAUUUGUUGGGUAUUCAGCAAAUUUGUUUAUUGUUGUAGUACAUGUUUCCCCUUUUUUUGAAUUGUGAUCAUAUAGUAGGUAAAGAUUGGGAAAACGGUUAAAGAUUGGAUUUUUAUGGUGAAGAUUUGGAGAUUUAGGCAAUUUGAUGAAUGGAAUGUAGUAGUGAGG
rnacentral:misc_RNA from 1 species